GUCACCUGGCCGCCGGGCGUGAGGGCUUCCCAGCACCGAGAUUUUACAGGGAACACCAACGUAGAGGCCGAGGCUAAAUGAAGGCCAAGUGUACUAAGAGGAACUAACCUUUGAGAAGUUAAUCUGGAUGUCAACUGUACUGAUGUUCCAGACAGAUGUGGCCCCCUUAAAUUCACAUGCUGAAGCCUAACGCCCAAUGAGACUGUAUUUGGAGACACAGUCUAUCAGGAGGAAGAAACUGGAAUCAAUGAGUUAAGUUUAAGAAAUGAAAGUUGAGUUCAAAUUAAGUACACUGGAGACAACAUGGUCAUUUUCAUUUUAUCCCUGGUUGGAACAACAUUACAGAAGAGCCCAAAUUUCUGAUUUAUCUCAUGAAAGAGAAAGCCUCUAGGAAGCCUCUUCAUUACUGGUGCCAUGGAGGAAGUGAUGUUAUCCAAUUGCCUGUCAACUUAGUAUCCCUGGCCCCAACAAUAAAACAGAC
ensembl:lncRNA